AAAAAGGUAAGGAAAAAGAGGAGUAUGUUCAUAACCCUGACAGAGAAAACCAUUCACCGGCUGAAAGAUGGUUAAGGAAGUGUGUGCAGAAGGUAGCUUUGGAACCGGAGUGCUGAAAUGCAGUAGUUGUGUUCAGUAGGUGCUCACGCGUGGUUUGCGUUAAAGACCGUGAGAGCUGCGGCACAGUCUGCCGCAGGAAUAAAGGUGGUACCGCGGAUGAUUCGCCCUUUGC
rnacentral:ncRNA from 1 species